GUGUCAGCCGCCGCGGUAAUACAGAGGUCCCAAGCGUUGUUCGGAUUCACUGGGCGUAAAGGGUGCGUAGGUGGUGAGGGAAGUUGGGUGUGAAAGCUCGGGGCUUAACCCCGAAACGGCAUUCAAAACUCCUUUGCUGGAGGGUCGGAAGGGAGACUGGAAUUCUCGGUGUAGCGGUGAAAUGCGUAGAGAUCGAGAGGAACACCAGUGGCGAAAGCGAGUCUCUGGACGACUCCUGACACUGAGGCACGAAAGCUAGGGGAGCAAACAGGAUUAGAAACCCUUGUAGUCC
rnacentral:rRNA from 1 species